GUACGAAGGGGAGCUAGCGUUGUUCGGAAUACUGGGCGUAAAGCGUAUGCAGGCGGAUCGUUAAGUCGGGGGUGAAAUCCCGAGGCUCAACCUCGGAACUGCCUUCGAUACUGGCGACCUUCGAGUCCGGGAGAGGUGAGUGGAACUCCGAGUGUAGAGGUGAAAUGCGUAGAUAUCGUAAGGAAGACCAGUGGCGAAGGCGGGUCUCUGGACAGUUCCUGACGCUGAGGCACGAAGGCCAGGGGAGCAAACGGG
rnacentral:rRNA from 1 species